CACAAGGCACCAAGAUUAUUCUGCCAGUUAGUUAUUUGAUAAAAAAUUUAUUUUUGAAUCCACCUUAAAUUUGAGAAACAAAAUUUUGCCGUCGUUACCAAAAAUUUUAGAUUUGGAAAGGGGUACGAUGCCAAAAGUAAUCCCGAAGGCUGCCAGUGUUGCUCGUAAACAAUGCUAUUUAAUUUAAUUACUGAAAUGGACAAAGUGCAGUAAUGCGAGACUCGGAAUCAAACCGGUGAAAAAGGUAGCCGCUCUAUUGUCUGGACAACAGCUGUUUAGUUUAUUACUUACAAAACAUUCUGAUAGCAACAUUUUUGCCAAAACCAGAGCACCUACAAACGAAAUCAAAAGAUUUUGCCCAAAUCGAAAUCGAAAAAAUUACGAUUACCGGGCUUGCCUGAAUAAAAUAAAAUAAUAUCGCAACA